GACGAACGCUGGCGGCGUGCUUAACACAUGCAAGUCGAACGAAGAGCGACGGAAGCUUGCUUCUAUCAAUCUUAGUGGCGAACGGGUGAGUAACGCGUAAUCAACCUGCCCUUCAGAGGGGGACAACAGUUGGAAACGACUGCUAAUACCGCAUACGAUCUAAUCUCGGCAUCGAGGAUGGAUGAAAGGUGGCCUCUACAUGUAAGCUAUCACUGAAGGAGGGGAUUGCGUCUGAUUAGCUAGUUGGAGGGGUAACGGCCCACCAAGGCGAUGAUCAGUAGCCGGUCUGAGAGGAUGAACGGCCACAUUGGGACUGAGACACGGCCCAGACUCCUACGGGAGGCAGCAGUGGGGAAUCUUCCGCAAUGGACGAAAGUCUGACGGAGCAACGCCGCGUGAGGGAUGACGGCCGUCGGGUUGUAAAGCUCUGUUAAUCGGGACGAAAGGCCUUCUUGCGAAUAGUGAGAAGGAUUGACGGUACCGGAAGAGAAAGCCACGGCUAACUACGUG
rnacentral:rRNA from 1 species